rnacentral:tRNA from 1 species
GCCGAAGUGGUGGAACUGGUAGACGCGCUGGAUUCAAAAUCCAGUGUCCUUCGGGACGUGUGGGUUCGAUUCCCUCCUUCGGCACCA